UACGUAGGUCCCGAGCGUUGUCCGGAUUUAUUGGGCGUAAAGCGAGCGCAGGUGGUUUAUUAAGUCUGGUGUAAAAGGCAGUGGCUCAACCAUUGUAUGCAUUGGAAACUGGUAGACUUGAGUGCAGGAGAGGAGAGUGGAAUUCCAUGUGUAGCGGUGAAAUGCGUAGAUAUAUGGAGGAACACCGGUGGCGAAAGCGGCUCUCUGGCCUGUAACUGACACUUAGGAUCGAAAGCGUGGGGAGCAAACAGG
rnacentral:rRNA from 1 species